rnacentral:misc_RNA from 1 species
GAAAUGCGAUAAGUAAUGUGAAUUGCAGAAUUCAGUGUAUCAUCGAAUCUUUGAACGCACAUUGCGCCCGCCAGCACUCUGGCGGGCAUGCCUGUUCGAGCGUCAUUUCAACCCUCAGAACCCCUUGCGGGAUCUGGCGUUGGGGAUUGGCAUCCAGCCAGCCCCGAAAUCUAGUGGCGGUCCCUCCGCGACCUCCCCUGUGCAGUAGCGAUACCUCGCAGCGGGACAGCGGUCUGACCACGCCGUAAAACCCCCAACUUCUCAAGGUUGACCUCGAAUCAGGUAGGAAUACCCGCUGAACUUAAGC